rnacentral:rRNA from 1 species
CCUACGGGGGGCAGCAGUGAGGAAUAUUGGUCAAUGGACGAGAGUCUGAACCAGCCAAGUAGCGUGAAGGAUGACUGCCCUAUGGGUUGUAAACUUCUUUUAUAUGGGAAUAAAAUGUUCCACGUGUGGGAUUUUGUAUGUACCAUAUGAAUAAGGAUCGGCUAACUCCGUGCCAGCAGCCGCGGUAAUACGGAGGAUCCGAGCGUUAUCCGGAUUUAUUGGGUUUAAAGGGAGCGUAGGUGGAUUGUUAAGUCAGUUGUGAAAGUUUGCGGCUCAACCGUAAAAUUGCAGUUGAAACUGGCAGUCUUGAGUACAGUAGAGGUGGGCGGAAUUCGUGGUGUAGCGGUGAAAUGCUUAGAUAUCACAAAGAACUCCGAUUGCGAAGGCAGUUCACUGGACUGCAACUGACACUGAGGCUCGAAAGUGUGGGUAUCAAACAGGAUUAGAUACCCGGGUAGUC